UACCAGCACCCCGAGUGGUCGAGACGUUUAUUGGGCCUAAAGCAUCCGUAGCCGGUUCUACAAGUCUUCCGUUAAAUCCACCUGCUUAACAGAUGGGCUGCGGAAGAUACUAUAGAGCUAGGAGGCGGGAGAGGCAAGCGGUACUCGAUGGGUAGGGGUAAAAUCCGUUGAUCCAUUGAAGACCACCAGUGGCGAAGGCGGCUUGCCAGAACGCGCUCGACGGUGAGGGAUGAAAGCUGGGGGAGCAAACCGG
rnacentral:rRNA from 1 species